UACGUAGGGUGCAAGCGUUAAUCGGAAUUACUGGGCGUAAAGCGUGCGCAGGCGGUUUUGUAAGUCUGUUGUGAAAUCCCCGGGCUCAACCUGGGAAUGGCGAUGGAUACUGGCGGGCUAGGGUGCGGUAGAGGAGAGUGGAAUUCCCGGUGUAGCAGUGAAAUGCGUAGAGAUCGGGAGGAACAUCAGUUGCGAAGGCGGCUCUCUGGACCAGCACUGACACUGAGGCACGAAAGCGUGGGGAGCAAACAGG
rnacentral:rRNA from 1 species